rnacentral:rRNA from 1 species
AUUGAACGCUGGCGGCAUGCCUUACACAUGCAAGUCGAACGGCAGCACGGGUGCUUGCACCUGGUGGCGAUUGGCGAACGGGUGAGUAAUACAUCGGAACAUGUCCUGUAGUGGGGGAUAGCCCGGCGAAAGCCGGAUUAAUACCGCAUACGAUCUACGGAUGACAGCGGGGGACCUUCUGGCCUCGCGCUUUAGGGUUGGCCGAUGGCUGAUUAGCUAGUUGGUGGGGUAAAGGCCUACCAAGGCGACGAUCAGUAGCUGGUCUGAGAGGACGAUCAGCCACACUGGGACUGAGACACGGCCCAGACUCCUACGGGAGGCAGCAGUGGGGAAUUUUGGACAAUGGGCGAAAGCCUGAUCCAGCAAUGCCGCGUGUGUGAAGAAGGCCUUCGGGUUGUAAAGCACUUUUGUCCGGAAAGAAAACCUUGGCCCUAAUACGGUCGGGGGAUGACGGUACCGGAAGAAUAAGCACCGGCUAACUACGUG